GAUGCCUAAUUAUCAGCAUCUUAAUUUUAAUACGCAAACCAAUAGUAAUAGUACGAAUAUAUUUUUUUGUGUAAAGUUAGGAUCGCCUUUUUCGGAAUUUUGCAUUGAUAUAAGGUAUAUUUUGGUUUAAAUGUAUACCUAUGUAUAUGUUGAAUCGGAGUUUCUUUUAAGAAGUACCCUAGAAAUGUAUAAAUGUAAGUGAAAAAGAAGGAAUGUAUGAAGUAUUAUUGUAAGUAGUCUAGCUGUAAAUUUUGUAAUGCGUAAAAUAAUGACGUGUAACUUAAAAAUCAAUCUUAACAAAUGCUAAAUAGAAACAAUGUUACAGUAAAUAUUAUUAAAUUCAUAAUAUAACUUUGAGAUGGCUGACAAGUUCGCAGCCCAAGGUA